rnacentral:lncRNA from 1 species
GAAACUUGAAGAAAAAUUUGAAACCUUAUAAGAAUUAACCUAAGUAACUUAACCUAAGAACCUAAUAAAAAUUAACCUAAGUAAAUUAAGCUAAGUAACUUAACUAAAUUAACCUAAACAACUUAAAGUAAGAACCUAAUAGCAACAAGAACCUAAUAACAAUAACCUAACUAAAUUAACCCAAGUCACUAAACUUAACUAAAUUACCCUUAGCAAAGAGGCAAAGAGAGGAAAGGACGGCGGAGGACUUACAAGUGGCUAGGGGAGACGUCGGCGACAAG